rnacentral:lncRNA from 1 species
CACGAAUACAACAUAAGUUACAUUAUCAUGAUCCAAGAAGUACUUGACUUAACACAUCAGUCCUCCCGACACAGGUAUCACAAAUAAAACAGUACAUAGUACUUGAAGUUCAAGAGAAGGAUCACAUAACAACUUGUAGAAAAUAUGCGAAAAUAAACAUAAGUCCUAAGGUCUUCAAGCUAGUCACUCCAUAGCUUUCUUACCUCGAUCACCCUGCUUAUCUGAAAUCAAUAAAUAGCAGGGGUGAGACUAUUAAGCCUCAGUAGGUUUCUACUAUCCAACUAAGGUGGUGACUACACCGGGGUACCUGAUUCAGUCAAUCCAAUAAACAACCAGUUCAUAUUCAAUAACAUAAAUAAUGAUGUAGCACAAAUUAUUAUCUUGUUCGUUUUACCAAUAGGACACUCUGAGGUAAGCCGGUCUCAGAGGCCUCACAAAUCCGUCUGCGAUAAUAAAGUAUCGACACGGCAACAGCUUACAUUUUUAUUAAUUCAAGAUUGGAUUCCAAAUUGAAUCCCAAAAUAGCAUAGCUAUCCAAAACGUGAUACCAAAGUAUCACACAUAACGAUUGACUGAGUUCCACAAUUAAGUGUCAUAAUUAUCUAACCAACAUAACCCGUUCCGGGGAAGUUCCUAAAUAAUCCCUAAGGAUUCAUGCAUAACAUUUCUAAGUUCCUCCAUUAUACCAAAUUUCAUACAGUUGUGUGUAGCCAAAGUUACAUUUAAUAAGUUGUGAGUUGAUGUAUUAUGAAUUUGGGAAUCAAGUAGGCCUUAAAAACCAGGUUCUUGAAGUGCAGGACUUGGGUUAAGAACAAAACAGAUUUUUGAGUGCAGGAGGCAGGUAAAUCGAUUUACCUGAGGGGGUAAAUCGAUUUACCCUGGCUAAAACUCGUUUUCCAGAAACUCCCAGGACCUGGUAAAUCGAUUUACAUCACAGGGUAAAUCGAUUUACCAGUGUUAAAAUUGGUUUUUCCUGCAACUUGAACCAGACAAAUUCAAAGAGUAGCACAACCUAUUCAUUUCCCAAUUCAUAACACAAUCAGUUAACAAAUCAUCAAGCAUAAAUUAGCACAACCUACAUACAUCAAUUCCUAAUGAAACCCACCUGAAUUGGUGUUUGAUUCUAGCUCUGAAACUUGGUCACAAAUCUGAAUUGAGAGUUUCAACUUCCUCUUGAGCUUUGGCCUUCAAUUCCACUUCCUAAAACACCACAAGAACACAAAUAAGCCCAAUCCCAUUACAUAUAUGAAAAGAUCAUGAUUUGGUUCAUUAGGGUGAGGAUGAACAGUGCACGAAAUAGAGGGAUUUAAGAGGAAGAUGAGCAAUUAAACUUACCUACUAGAGAGCUUAGGUAUCAAAUAACCGAUUAUCCCAAAAGCUUAAGCUGUUAGGAAAGGCCACAUCAAUGGUUUUAUAUU